CCUACGGGUGGCACCAGUGAGGAAUAUUGGUCAAUGGUCGGGAGACUGAACCAGCCAAGUAGCGUGCGGGAUGAAGGCCCUACGGGUCGUAAACCGCUUUUGCACGGGGAUAACACCCUCCACUUGUGGAGGUCUGCAGGUACCGUGCGAAUAAGGGCCGGCUAACUCCGUGCCAGCAGCCGCGGUAAUACGGAGGAUCCGAGCGUUAUCCGGAUUUAUUGGGUUUAAAGGGAGCGUAGGCGGGUUGUUAAGUCAGUUGUGAAAGUUUGCGGCUCAACCGUAAAAUUGCAGUUGAUACUGGCAGCCUUGAGUGCAGUAGAGGUAGGCGGAAUUCGUGGUGUAGCGGUGAAAUGCUUAGAUAUCACGAAGAACUCCGAUUGCGAAGGCAGCCUGCUGGACUGUAACUGACGCUGAUGCUCGAAAGUGUGGGUAUCAAACAGGAUUAGAUACCCGAGUAGUC
rnacentral:rRNA from 1 species